UAGGGAAUAUUGGGCAAUGGCGGAAACGCUGACCCAGCCAUGCCGCGUGCAGGAAGAAGGCCUUCUGGGUUGUAAACUGCUUUUAUCUAGGAAGAAAAAACUCUUGCGAGAGGAACUGACGGUACUAGGUGAAUAAGCACCGGCUAACUCCGUGCCAGCAGCCGCGGUAAUACGGAGGGUGCAAGCGUUGUCCGGAUUUAUUGGGUUUAAAGGGUGCGUAGGCGGCUUGAUAAGUCCGUGGUGAAAGCCAACAGCUCGACUGUUGAACUGCCAUGGAUACUGUUAGGCUUGAGUACAGACGAGGUAGGCGGAAUUGAUGGUGUAGCGGUGAAAUGCAUAGAUACCAUCAAGAACACCGAUUGCGAAGGCAGCUUACUAGGCUGUAACUGACGCUGAGGCACGAAAGCGUGGGGAGCGAA
rnacentral:rRNA from 1 species